CAGCUGGCUAAAGAGAGAGCCUCUCCACCCCAAGGAUACCUGAAAGAGACUGGAACAAAGUGAACACAAGUCCUGAAGGAAGAGCAGCUUUCGCAUUAAUUCUACAAUCACAUACUGCUGUGUAAAUCAAGUGCAAAUCCACUGAUGUAAAACCAAUCAUCCACAUUCCAGACAACUGCAUCUGAAAGUAUAUGCUGAGUAAGACCUUGGCUACACUUGCGAGUUACAGCACAAUAAAGCAGCCCCAGGCACCCUAGCUCACUCCCCGUCCACACUGGCAAGGCAUGUAGAGCGCUCUGACUCCGCAGCUACAGUGCUGC